rnacentral:rRNA from 1 species
GACGAACGCUGGCGGCGUGCCUAAUACAUGCAAGUCGAACGCAUUUUCUUUCACCGUAGCUUGCUACACCGAAAGAAAAUGAGUGGCGAACGGGUGAGUAACACGUGGGUAACCUGCCCAUCAGCGGGGGAUAACACUUGGAAACAGGUGCUAAUACCGCAUAAUUCCAUUUACCGCAUGGUAAAUGGAUGAAAGGCGCUUUUGCGUCACUGAUGGAUGGACCCGCGGUGCAUUAGCUAGUUGGUGGGGUAACGGCCUACCAAGGCUGCGAUGCAUAGCCGACCUGAGAGGGUGAUCGGCCACACUGGGACUGAGACACGGCCCAGACUCCUACGGGAGGCAGCAGUAGGGAAUCUUCGGCAAUGGACGCAAGUCUGACCGAGCAACGCCGCGUGAGUGAAGAAGGGUUUCGGAUCGUAAAACUCUGUUGUUAGAGAAGAACAAGGAUGAGAGUGGAAAGUUCAUCCCUUGACGGUAGCUAACCAGAAAGCCACGGCUAACUACGUG